UGGGGAGCGAACAGGAUUAGAUACCCUGGUAGUCCAGACCGUAAACGGUGGGCACUAGUUGUGGGAACCUUCCACGGUUUCUGCGACGCAGCUAACGCAUUAAGUGCCCCGCCUGGGGAGUACGAUCGCAAGAUUAAAACUCAAAGGAAUUGACGGGGCCCCGCACAAGCAGCGGAGCAUGCGGCUUAAUUCGACGCAACGCGAAGAACCUUACCAAGGCUUGACAUAUAGGGAAAAGUGGCAGAGAUGUCAUGUCCGCAAGGGCUCUAUACAGGUGGUGCAUGGUUGUCGUCAGCUCGUGUCGUGAGAUGUUGGGUUAAGUCCCGCAACGAGCGCAACCCUCGUUCUGUGUUGCCAGCAUUUAGUUGGGGACUCACAGGAGACUGCCGGGGUUAACUCGGAGGAAGGUGGGGAUGACGUCAAAUCAUCAUGCCCCUUAUGUCUUGGGCUGCACGCAUGCUACAAUGGCCGGUACAGAGGGCUGCAAUACCGUAAGGUGGAGCGAAUCCCAAAAAGCCGGUCUCAGUUCGGAUUGAGGUCUGCAACUCGACCUCAUGAAGUUGGAGUUGCUAGUAAUCGUAGAUCAGCAACGCUACGGUGAAUACGUUCCCGGGGCUUGUACACACCGCCCGUCACGUCACGAAAGUCGGUAACACCC
rnacentral:rRNA from 1 species